CCUGAGAAACCCGAAAGAUCGAAUGAGGAGAUUCAUCAUCAGCGAUCUCGGCAGUUGCGCGGUUCGCGAUGCCCGCGAGGGGAUUUAACCGUUCUCUCAAAGCGGCACGCGUCCGUGUGGUUUUUUGCCGGGUGUCGUCGGCGUGCACUUCUCCUCUAGUAGGACUUCGCGACCCGUUGAGCGUCGGUCUACGGCCCGUAGGAGGAAGCCUGUCGCGUGCCUCGCCUCGCGGCGUCUCGCGGCAGACCCUCGGCGUCUGACCAGCUGCUCGGCGGUAUUGCACACGGUAUAGAGCCGCAAACUUUUCGAAAUGCGUCCGGCCCGCCGCAAGCGAGGCCCAGUGUUCCCGGAGUGUACGGACUUUGCGCCGUCGCCGGGCCUGGCCGGCUGUUGGUUGGCGGUGUCCUAGGACUGGCUCGUUCUCGAAAGAGAUAUACCGGUCAGCGAGGCUACUGCUUUGGGUACUUUCAGGA
rnacentral:rRNA from 1 species